GAUGAACGCUAGCGGCAGGCCUAAUACAUGCAAGUCGAACGCGGGGUAGCAAUACCUCGAGUGGCGCACGGGUGCGUAACGCGUAACCAACCUGCCCUUGACUGGGGGAUAGCCCGCCGAAAGGCGGAUUAAUACCGCAUAAACCAGCAGCCUGGCAUCAGGCAACUGGUAAAGAUUUAUUGGUCAAGGAUGGGGUUGCGUGACAUUAGCUAGUUGGCGGGGUAACGGCCCACCAAGGCGACGAUGUCUAGGGGAGCUGAGAGGGUGAUCCCCCACACUGGCACUGAGAUACGGGCCAGACUCCUACGGGAGGCAGCAGUAGGGAAUAUUGGGCAAUGGGCGAGAGCCUGACCCAGCCAUGCCGCGUGCCGGAUGAAGGCCUUCUGGGUUGUAAACGGCUUUUCUCAGGGAAGAAAAAGGGUGUGCGUACCACACUGACGGUACCUGAGGAAUAAGCACCGGCUAACUCCGUGCCAGCCGCCGCAGUAA
rnacentral:rRNA from 1 species